CUUAAACUCUGGGUCAGAGUUACCAUGGUAACUUAAACUCUGGGUCAGAGUUACCAUGGUAACUUAAACUCUGGGUCAGAGUUACCAUGGUAAUGUAACCUCUGGGUCAGAGUCGGUAUGGAAGCUCGUCCGUUAGUGGAGCUUUACUGUCAGAAUCUGAAUCCUGGUCGGAUGUUAGUUUGUUUCUCAGGACUUUGUAAAGUUUUUAUGUUUCAGUCGUUUCUUUGAUCAGCGGUUCAAAUAUCAAUCAGUGUGAAUUGAUCUUCAGCUCAGAAUCAAAGCUCUUCACGUCCUUCUGUUAUAACUCUGAGACUCUGUCAGUCUGUCAGAGCAGCUGCUGACCUCUGAUCUUUAUUACACAUCAUGUUUCAUCUCAGUUUAAAUUUAAAUGAUCAGAACGAAGCUUCAGACACGUCGGAUCAAUGAAUAAUGAUCUCUGAUCGGUCCACUGAUGUAAUAUUGGAGAUUAUAUGUUAAUGUUUCUGAGUGAGCAGCAUCACUGAAUGAUGUUGAGCUGAGAUACAAACAGACGUCUGAACAUUUAACAUCUGCUGUAUUUUAAUAAUCAUCAAUCACAUUAUUAUUGAUCAGCCUGUGAGCUACAGUCACGUCUCUGUGUCUUUGAUCUAUUUAUGUUUUAAAUCUUCAGCUGCUGCUUCCUGUGUUUCCUCCGUCAGAUUCAAACUGAACACAUAUAUUUAAAUGUAAUGUAGCUGCAGCCUGAUACACAGAUUCCACUUUAUCAUCAAUAAGCAAAUGUGAGUCUGAUAAACGAUCAAUUCAGAUUAAUCUGAUUAAUUUCCCGCUCUGAUUCAGGCUCUUUGUUUAAAGAUAAAUGUGCAUCGUCUGCAUACACAUGCAUUAAUAUCUCUGGAGGCUCUGCCUUUUAUUAACCUGUUACCAUGGUGACUCGUAGUAUCAGAGCUCCAUUGAUCAUUGAUCAGCUGAUCAGUCAGAGUUUGUUAAACCUGCUUUCUGAGAAACAGAAAACUUUAAAACAUUAGCUGCUGGUGGAACUGGAGGCUCAAAUGAAAGACACGUCUAGAUGCAUCAUGGGAAAUGUAGGAUAUAGUGGAGUCUUCUGGAGUCUUAAUUACUGAAUCUUUGAUUUACACUAAUCAAUAAUAAAUCAACAAAUAAAGAUUCAGUCUUGUAAAAAUAAAAGGAUCCAGACGCCUUCUCGUUUUUGUGCUAAGCUAAGCUAAGCUAGCCAGGCAAACACGUGAUUGAUAAUUGGUUGAUUAGAAUGAUCAGUGUUCUGAUUGGACGCUAGGACGAGUUUCAGUCCGACGUGAUUGGCUGCGGCAGCAUGUGAAACCCAAAUGCUCACUUCCUGUUGGGUUGGGUCUGUCCAAACUGAGGCCAGGGGCCCAAACAGGGUCAAGAUCUGAGUCAGUGCGGUCCGGGCUCUACGGGGGGUCCAGGCCGAAGAAUUGAUCUCCAAUGGAAACGCACUACAGUUGCCAUGGAAACAAUGUUCCUACAUAUCAGGUCCCUGUAGUCUGGGAUCAGGCCUUCAUUCAGACUUUCUUUCAGUGUUUGAUCGGUCACUCUGAUCAGGUAUUAAACAUAUUGAUCACAUAUUGAUCACAUUCAGCCGUCGGUUUGAUCGUUUCUGAUCAGCUGACAUCUGAAUAAGGUUUCUCAUCGUCUCGUGUUUUGAUUGGUCGUUUUUAACGUGAUAGAUUCACAGCUGCUGGGUGUGGUCAUGUGACUGUGUUAAGCCAAUCGGAGCGAGUUUUCUUUAUUCAGACUUUGAGACGUGUGAAGCUCAGAGAUGUUUAGUGGUGACGGCGUUCCCGACGUCUCACUCGCUCCCUGUUUUCAGCCUCAGACCUCAGUCCAUCAACAGCAGACAGGUGAGACAGUUCUCGGCUGUCGGACUCUUUUUACCGUCUGUUUGCAGAUCAGAGAUUCUGAACUAAAACUGUUUGGACAAAAUAACGGAAACACGGACAGAAGAAAAGAGUCGACCUGUGUACAUGUUUUUUUUCUGAUGUUUUAAAUCUAUUAAUAAACUGUCAAACUUC